AAAGGGUGUAGGACGGAGUUCAAGUUUAGCGCUCGACAUUUCUGCUUUCUCCUACUCUUUUCCCGUGCUUUCUUUCAUAGUUCGCGCUAAAAUGUACCCCAUAG
rnacentral:lncRNA from 1 species